CCCAUUGAAGAUGAAGAAUUGGUAACCCAAAUUCUCAAUGGUCUUGAUUAUGAAUAUAAUCCUUUUGUGUCUUCUGCCCUUGGCCGGGUCGACACGACUUCUCUCGACGAUCUGUACUCUCAACUUCUUGCAUAUGAUG